rnacentral:rRNA from 1 species
GAUGAACGCUGGCGGCGUGCCUAAUACAUGCAAGUCGAGCGAACGGACGAGAAGCUUGCUUCUCUGAUGUUAGCGGCGGACGGGUGAGUAACACGUGGAUAACCUACCUAUAAGACUGGGAUAACUUCGGGAAACCGGAGCUAAUACCGGAUAAUAUUUUGAACCGCAUGGUUCAAAAGUGAAAGACGGUCUUGCUGUCACUUAUAGAUGGAUCCGCGCUGCAUUAGCUAGUUGGUAAGGUAACGGCUUACCAAGGCAACGAUGCAUAGCCGACCUGAGAGGGUGAUCGGCCACACUGGAACUGAGACACGGUCCAGACUCCUACGGGAGGCAGCAGUAGGGAAUCUUCCGCAAUGGGCGAAAGCCUGACGGAGCAACGCCGCGUGAGUGAUGAAGGUCUUCGGAUCGUAAAACUCUGUUAUUAGGGAAGAACAUAUGUGUAAGUAACUGUGCACAUCUUGACGGUACCUAAUCAGAAAAGCACGGCUAACUACGUGCCAGCAGCCGCGGUUAUACGUAGGUGGCAAGCGUUAUCGGGAUUAUUGGGUGUAAAGCGCGCGUAGGCGGUUUUUUAGUCUGAUGUGAAAGCCCACGGCUCAACCGUGGAGGGUCAUUGGAAACUGGAAAACUUGAGUGCAGAAGAGGAAAGUGGAAUUCCAUGUGUAGCGGUGAAAUGCGCAGAGAUAUGGAGGAACACCAGUGGCGAAGGCGACUUUCUGGUCUGUAACUGACGCUGAUGUGCGAAAGCGUGGGGAUCAAACAGGAUUAGAUACCCUGGUAGUCCACGCCGUAAACGAUGAGUGCUAAGUGUUAGGGGGUUUCCGCCCCUUAGUGCUGCAGCUAACGCAUUAAGCACUCCGCCUGGGGAGUACGACCGCAAGGUUGAAACUCAAAGGAAUUGACGGGGACCCGCACAAGCGGUGGAGCAUGUGGUUUAAUUCGAAGCAACGCGAAGAACCUUACCAAAUCUUGACAUCCUUUGACAACUCUAGAGAUAGAGCUUUCCCCUUCGGGGGACAAAGUGACAGGUGGUGCAUGGUUGUCGUCAGCUCGUGUCGUGGGAUGUUGGGUUAAGUCCCGCAACGAGCGCAACCCUUAAGCUUAGUUGCCAUCAUUAAGUUGGGCACUCUAAGUUGACUGCCGGUGACAAACCGGAGGAAGGUGGGGAUGACGUCAAAUCAUCAUGCCCCUUAUGAUUUGGGCUACACACGUGCUACAAUGGACAAUACAAAGGGCAGCGAAACCGUGAGGUCAAGCAAAUCCCAUAAAGUUGUUCUCAGUUCGGAUUGUAGUCUGCAACUCGACUACAUGAAGCUGGAAUCGCUAGUAAUCGUAGAUCAGCAUGCUACGGUGAAUACGUUCCCGGGUCU